CUAAAAAUAUAGCCUUAUCAUCCCCUAAUGUAUAAACCUUCUUACACAAUUUAAUUAAAACAUUUUUUAAACCUAGUAAAGGAGAUUAAAAAGUUUCUUAGAGCUAUAAUAAUAGUACCGCAAGGGAAAUAUGAAAUAAAAAUGAAAUAAAACUUAAGCAAUAAAAAGUAAAGCUCAAUCCUUGUACCUUUUGCAUCAUGGUUCAACUAGUCUAAUCAAGCAAAAAGAAUUAAAGUUUGACCCCCCGAAACUAAGUGAGCUACUUCAAGGCAGCUUAAUGAGCCAACCCGUCUCUGUUGCAAAAGAGUGGGAUGACCUUCAAGUAGAGGUGACAGACCUAACGAACUUAGUGAUAGCUGGUUAUUCAGGAAAAGAAUAUUAGUUCUACUUAAAAUUACAUUAAUAAUUAAAAAUUAAUCUAUAAUUUUAAAGCAAUUCAAAUAAGGUACAGCCUGUUUGAAUUAGGAUACAACCUCUUCUAAUGGGUAAACUCAAUAUCUAAAUAUAAUUAAGUAGGCCUAAAAGCAGCCAUCUUUAAAAUAGCGUCAAAGCUUAUUUAUUUAUCCUAAUUAAUAACACUAUUUUAUAUUAACCCUUUUCUACUACUGAAUAAUUUUAUAAUAUUAUAAAAAUUUUCAUGUUGAAACUAGUAACAAGAAGUUAAACUUCUCUUUAACGUAAGCUUAACUCGGACAGGAUUAACCACCGACAAUUAAUACCCCGAACUAAAAAUAGUAACUUCACAUGAAAACCCUAUUAUAUCUAAUAUUAACCUUACACUAGAACAUUUAAAGAAAGAUUUUAAAAAAAGGAAGGAACUCGGCAAACAUUAACCUCGCCUGUUUACCAAAAACAUCGCCUUCUGAUUUACAAUAGAAGGUCCAGCCUGCCCAGUGAACUAAUUCAACGGCCGCGGUAUCCUAACCGUGCGAAGGUAGCGUAAUCACUUGUUCUUUAAAUGAGGACUAGUAUGAAUGGCACCACGAGGGUUAUACUGUCUCCCUUUUUUAAUCAGUUAAACUAAUCUUCCCGUGAAGAAACGGGGAUAAACAUAUAAGACGAGAAGACCCUAUGGAGCUUUAAAUUACGCAACAAUUGUUAUAUCUUUAUAAUUUUAAGAAUAAUUUUAUAUUUAAACACUAUGAUCGCUAAUUUUUGGUUGGGGUGACCGCGGAGCAUAAAAUAACCUCCACAAUGAAAGAAGCUCUUCUUCUGAACUAAGAACUACAGUUCUAAGUACUAAUAAUUUAACAUUCUUUGAUCCAAUUUAUUGAUCAACGAACAAAGUUACCCUAGGGAUAACAGCGCAAUCCACUUCAAGAGCUCCUAUCGACAAGUGGGUUUACGACCUCGAUGUUGGAUCAGGGUGUCCCAGUGGUGUAGCCGCUACUAAUGGUCGUUGUUCAACGAUAAAA
rnacentral:rRNA from 1 species